UGGCAAUUCUUGGGGAGCGCAAAAAUGAAAAUGGGGCGCCGAAUUUUGAAAGUGGGUGGGAAAAAACGCAUUCUCGAAAAAAUAUGGUUACUUCCGCCAAGAAAAGACAUGUUCAUAGGCUACAGUAUAAAACAGACUAAGCGCAUAUAGGCGAUAUAUAUUAAAUUACAGACUAUUUUGCCUGUAACCGUAUUUGCUACCUCACAGCUGACACGAAAUCGUUCAUAUAGAAAC
rnacentral:lncRNA from 1 species